ensembl:lncRNA
AAAUUAAACACUAAUUUAAUUCAUAGUUUUAUUUUUCUAUAGGUUAAGCACCUUUUCGUAAAUAUGGCUGUUUCCCAGUUUUAUUUUUUUUUUGUUUUUUUAUUUUUUUUUUUUUUUGUUUUUUUUUAGGAUUUACAUUUAAAAAAAUGAGCCUACUUCAAACAUUUUAAGCAGCUUGAACAAAACCUGUUAAUAUUUAUUAUAGACCACUGUAACUGUCUAUUAUCUAAAAAAAAACAAAUUUAUUAUGAAAAUAAAAGUGUGUACACCAGUUAAACUGGACGAUAAAGAAAUUGCUAACAAUAGUUUAAUAGAGCAUGUUUUAGGUUUAUAGGUGUUUAGAUGCAGAAAUUUAAUUUAAUUAAAUAUAGAUUAAUUCUUGUUAGAGCAAAAAAAAAAAAAAAAAAAAUAAUAAUAAUAAUAA